rnacentral:misc_RNA from 1 species
GCCGAAUUAAAACAUGAUGAUUAUAAAAUUAAAUCUGAUUUAUUUGAAAAAAAAGUUAAAAUUAUGUACAAAUAAAUGGGAGGAUGAAAGUAAAUUAUAUAACACAUAUAUACAAGAGUUGUAUAACCAACUUCUGAGAGGAUAAGCUACCGGGGUUUUUAGACGUCGAAGUACUUGGGAUCCGAUGGAUAAUCAUAUUCUACAUGUAGCUGCAAUGUGGAAAAAAAAAGGAUGUUUCAUUUGUCAGGAUGGCAGACAAAAUAAGUAAUUAAUGGAUGCCUUCAACCAUAUUUAUUGAGGUUUAAUAUUCUGAUAUUUUCUUGAAUGGGGCACAAUAGUUGAUGCCUCAACAGAAACUGCAUCUUAAAUUCUACAAAUAAAUGAAAAUGACUUUCCCUAUGUAGGUCAGGCAUUUUUCAAGACCCAGAAACAUAGACCACCUAAGUCCAGAAGAAGUCUUCCUUCUUCAUUUUCUUUUUUUUUUAUUUUUUAGGAAUUGCAGAAAUCUUCCCUUUUUUUUUCCGAUAAAUUUCCAGAAAUCUUCCUUACUAUAGGGAUAACAUCAGAAUAAAUAGCACCACCACCAACAACAAGGUCUAAAUGCCAAACAAGCGGUUAUAUGGAUUAUUUUUUAUCAUUGAGCUUUGUUCGUCAUUGAUAGAUCUAUCAGCCAGAAAAUAAGCAUCAUUCAAGACAAACAUAAUGAAAACAUCAAUGAAGAAACCAUCCAUUGAAAUUCUCUCUCUCUCUCUUUUUUUUCCGGUUCAUUAUAUGAACAUGAUAACAAAACUGUAACUCAUGCAGAUGCCAGAUGCCUAGGAAUGCUCAGCCAGAAAAUAAGAAUCAUUCAAGAAAACAAUAAGCAGAUUGAAGCAUGCAUUUCUCAAGCAUAAGUUAUAACGGAGAUACAAAACUUACCUUGCCCUCAUCAGCAUCUGA